AUGACUGGAGGCAUUAUGGUGAUGUCGUACGGUUGGUGUGGAGCGCAAUUAGUUUGUCGAUGGGUUACCGUUGGAGAAAGAGGCGGCCCGUGGCGGCCGUUGAGUCGUGAACAAAAGAAGUUUCCGUCGAUGGAAAGGACACUGGUGUUGGUUGUCGUGGAGGAGUCGACAGUGUUGUUGGUGCAUGGUGUCGGAAGAAGGAAUGGCGGGGAGAUUCAUGUUUUAUGGCUACUCUGGUCGAUCAACGUCAUCGCGAGGGGGUAUGCAUCGGUUGUGGAACUGCUAGAUGUUGAUGGGUAA